rnacentral:rRNA from 1 species
UUUAUUUGAUAGUACCUUUACCUGGAUAACCGUGGUAAUUCUAGAGCUAAUACAUGCUAAAAACCUCGACUUCGGAAGGGGUGUAUUUAUUAGAUAAAAAACCAAUGCCCUCCGGGGCUCCUUGGUGAUUCAUAAUAACUCAACGAAUCGCAUGGCCUUGCGCCGGCGAUGGUUCAUUCAAAUUUCUGCCCUAUCAACUUUCGAUGGUAGGAUAGUGGCCUACCAUGGUCUUUACGGGUAUCGGGGAAUCAGGGUUCUAUUCCGGAGAGGGAGCCUGAGAAACGGCUACCACAUCCAAGGAAGGCAGCAGGCGCGCAAAUUACCCAAUCCCGACACGGGGAGGUAGUGACAAUAAAUACUGAUACAGGGGUCUUUUGGCUCGUGUAAUUGGAAUGAGUACAAUCUAAAUCCCUUAACGAGGAACAAUUGGAGGGCAAGUCUGGUGCCAGCAGCCGCGGUAAUUCCAGCUCCAAUAGCGUAUAUUAAAGUUGUUGCCGUUAAAAAGCUCGUAGUUGAACCUUGGGCCUGGCUGAUCUGUCCUCCUAAUCGAGCGCACGGAUUCGGCCGGGCCUUUCCUUCUGGGGAGCCC